rnacentral:rRNA from 1 species
UUAAUGAGAGUUUGAUCCUGGCUCAGGACGAACGCUGGCGGCGUGCCUAAUACAUGCAAGUAGAACGCUGAAGAGAGGAGCUUGCUCUUCUUGGAUGAGUUGCGAACGGGUGAGUAACGCGUAGGUAACCUGCCUUGUAGCGGGGGAUAACUAUUGGAAACGAUAGCUAAUACCGCAUAACAAUGGAUGACACAUGUCAUUUAUUUGAAAGGGGCAAUUGCUCCACUACAAGAUGGACCUGCGUUGUAUUAGCUAGUAGGUGAGGUAAUGGCUCACCUAGGCGACGAUACAUAGCCGACCUGAGAGGGUGAUCGGCCACACUGGGACUGANAGCUUACCAGAAAGGGACGGCUAACUACGUGCCAGCAGCCGCGGUAAUACGUAGGUCCCGAGCGUUGUCCGGAUUUAUUGGGCGUAAAGCGAGCGCAGGCGGUUUGAUAAGUCUGAAGUUAAAGGCUGUGGCUCAACCAUAGUUCGCUUUGGAAACUGUCAAACUUGAGUGCAGAAGGGGAGAGUGGAAUUCCAUGUGUAGCGGUGAAAUGCGUAGAUNGCGAACAGGAUUAGAUACCCUGGUAGUCCACGCCGUAAACGAUGAGUGCUAGGUGUUGGAUCCUUUCCGGGAUUCAGUGCCGCAGCUAACGCAUUAAGCACUCCGCCUGGGGAGUACGACCGCAAGGUUGAAACUCAAAGGAAUUGACGGGGGCCCGCACAAGCGGUGGAGCAUGUGGUUUAAUUCGAAGCAACGCGAAGAACCUUACCAGGUCUUGACAUCCCGAUGCUAUUUCUAGAGAUAGAAAGUUACUUCGGUACAUCGGUGACAGGUGGUGCAUGGUUGUCGUCAGCUCGUGUCGUGAGAUGUUGGGUUAAGUCCCGCAACGAGCGCAACCCCUAUUGUUAGUUGCCAUCAUUCAGUUGGGCACUCUAGCGAGACUGCCGGUAAUAAACCGGAGGAAGGUGGGGAUGACGUCAAAUCAUCAUGCCCCUUAUGACCUGGGCUACACACGUGCUACAAUGGUUGGUACAACGAGUUGCGAGUCGGUGACGGCGAGCUAAUCUCUUAAAGCCAAUCUCAGUUCGGAUUGUAGGCUGCAACUCGCCUACAUGAAGUCGGAAUCGCUAGUAAUCGCGGAUCAGCACGCCGCGGUGAAUACGUUCCCGGGCCUUGUACACACCGCCCGUCACACCACGAGAGUUUGUAACACCCGAAGUCGGUGAGGUAACCUUUUGGAGCCAGCCGCCUAAGGUGGGACAGAUGAUUGGGGUGAAGUCGUAACAAGGUAGCCGUAUCGGAAGGUGCGGCUGGAUCACCUCCUUUCUAAGGAA